CUACAACAAAGUUGGGAGAGGUAUCAGAAACCCCUAUUAUUCUGAUAGUAUCUUCAGCAAAGAUGAAGAUGUUCAAGCUCAUGUUGGCACUAUUCAGAGCUUGAAAACUAAGAGUAAGCACACGUGUGGAGCGUUUGCAUGGAAAGCUGCUCAAAAUAAGCCU